rnacentral:rRNA from 1 species
CACGUAGGAGGCGAGCGUUGUCCGGAAUCAUUGGGCGUAAAGAGCGUGUAGGCGGCCAACUAAGUCGGACGUGAAGUCCCCAGGCUCAACCUGGGAACUGCGUCCGAUACUGGAUGGCUUGAAUCCGGGAGAGGGAUGCAGAAUUCCAGGUGUAGCGGUGAAAUGCGUAGAUAUCUGGAGGAAUACCGGUGGCGAAGGCGGCAUCCUGGACCGGCAUUGACGCUGAUGAGCGAAAAGCUAGGGGGAGCAAACAGG